rnacentral:rRNA from 1 species
GAUGAACGCUGGCGGCGUGCUUAACACAUGCAAGUCGAACGGGAAUUAUUUUAUUGAAACUUCGGUCGAUUUAAUUUAAUUCUAGUGGCGGACGGGUGAGUAACGCGUGGGUAACCUGCCUUAUACAGGGGGAUAACAGUCAGAAAUGGCUGCUAAUACCGCAUAAGCGCACAGAGCUGCAUGGCUCAGUGUGAAAAACUCCGGUGGUAUAAGAUGGACCCGCGUUGGAUUAGCUUGUUGGCAGGGUAACGGCCUACCAAGGCGACGAUCCAUAGCCGGCCGGAGAGGGUGAACGGCAACAUGGGGACUGAGACACGGCCCAGAUUCCUAGGGGAGGCAGCAGGGGGGAAUAUUGCAAAAGGGGGGAAACCCUGAUGCAGCGACGCCGGGUGAAGGAAGAAGUAUCUCGGUAUGAAAACUUCUAUCAGCAGGGAAGAUAGGGACGGUACCUGACUAAGAAGCCCCGGCUAACUACGU